rnacentral:misc_RNA from 1 species
CAGAAUCUUAGCUGGAUGCGCCUCUCUUCACUUUCGUUGCCUUCUCUCUUUUCUGCUUCUCUUUCUUUUUUCUAUCUUCAACCCUUUCCCAUUUUCCUCCCUUUUCUCUCACUUUCCCUGGAAAAAAAAAGAAAAGAAAACACACACACACACACUGCACUGAAACACCUUAAACCCCACAAUGCCCGCCUCCUCCUCCUCCUCCUCCUCCUCCUCCUUCUUCUUCAUCCCAUUCUUCGUCUUUUCCUGCGCCUCCAGCCGUAGGAUCCUCCACCAACCUUUCUUUCCUCAGGACGCCAUUCCUCCUUCUCAACCGCCUUCUCCUUCUCCGCCUUCUCCGCCUACUUCCCCUAAAAUCCCCUUUUCCACUGCUACCCCAAAUCAGUCCCCUUUUUUUCCUUCCUACCC